rnacentral:siRNA from 1 species
GCGGCUGCGGUUGCGGUUG